AACGAACGCUGGCGGCAGGCCUAACACAUGCAAGUCGAGCGAGGACUUCGGUCCUAGCGGCGGACGGGUGAGUAACGCGUGGGAACGUGCCCUUUGCUACGGAAUAGCCCCGGGAAACUGGGAGUAAUACCGUAUGUGCCCUUCGGGGGAAAGAUUUAUCGGCAAAGGAUCGGCCCGCGUUGGAUUAGGUAGUUGGUGGGGUAAUGGCCUACCAAGCCGACGAUCCAUAGCUGGUUUGAGAGGAUGAUCAGCCACACUGGGACUGAGACACGGCCCAGACUCCUACGGGAGGCAGCAGUGGGGAAUUUUAGACAAUGGGGGAAACCCUGAUCUAGCCAUGCCGCGUGAGCGAUGAAGGCCUUAGGGUUGUAAAGCUCUUUCAGUGGGGAAGAUAAUGACGGUACCAGGAGAAGAAGCCCCGGCUAACUUCGUGCCAGCCGCCGCAGUAACAC
rnacentral:rRNA from 1 species